CCUAUGGGUUGCAGCAGUGAGGAAUCUUGGUCAAUGGGCGCGAGCCUGAACCAGCCAAGUAGCGUGAAGGAUUACUGCCCUACGGGUUGUAAACUUCUUUUAUAAAGGAAUAAAGUGAGGCACGUGUGCCUUUUUGUAUGUACUUUAUGAAUACGGAUCGGCUAACUCCGUGCCAGCCGCCGCGGUAAUACGGAGGAUCCGAGCGUUAUCCGGAUUUCUUGGGUUUAAAGGGAGCGUAGAUGGGUUGUUCAGUCAGUUGUGAAAGUUUGCGGCUCAACCGUAAAAUUGCAAUUGAUACUGGCAGCCUUGAGUACAGUUGAGGUAGGCGGAAUUCGUGGUGUAGCGGUGAAAUGCUUAGAUAUCACGAAGAACUCCGAUUGCGAAGGCAGCCUACUAAACUGCCUCUGACAUUGAUGCUCGAAAGUGUGGGUAUCAAACAGGAUUAGAUACCCCGGUAGUC
rnacentral:rRNA from 1 species